GGUAGAUCUACUCUGGAACUUUCUCCAGUUGUCGGUAGGUCUACUCUGGAACUUUCUCCAGUUGUUGGUAGGUCUACUCUAGAACUUUCUCCAGUUGUCGGUAGGUCUACUCUAGAACUUUCUCCAGUUGUCGGUAGGUCUACUCUAGAACUUUCUCCAGUUGUCGGUAGGUCUACUCUAGAACUUUCUCCAGUUGUCGGUAGGUCUACUCUAGAACUUUCUCCAGUUGUCGGUAGGUCUACUCUAGAACUUUCUCCAGUUGUCGGUAGGUCUACUCUGGAACUUUCUCCA